rnacentral:lncRNA from 1 species
UGCCUUUGCAAAUUUGGGAGUUCUACUCCCUGCCUUCUGUACUUGGCUCAUGCUUGCUUACAAAGUACCUUUCACAUAAAGGAGGCUGACCAUCUCUUAGUUGAUUACCAAGAAAUGCAGACCUGCCAGUAGUGAGGCAGGAACGACAGAUGCCAACCCACAGCAGGACCUGAGUCCUAAACAGAUAGAAAGUAGGAGGGCAUUCUGUACUAAAUUGACUAGCAUUUGGCAAAUAUAGGGCUCACCCUAGCACAGCCGAGGCAUUUGAUAUAAACAAAAAACAAAACAGAGUUUCCUUUAAUAAGACAUGAGAAUGCCCAGAAACUUAGAUGCCAUGCACAUGACCCCUUGUUCCCUCACAAAACAAACAAAAAGUAAAAUGUAUCUUCUCCAUAUUCCCCCAGGAACUUAACUUUCAUAAGUGUAACAAGUAUAAUAGAUGGUGAGCAAGCCUUAUUAUAUUGUAAUAUGUGUGCUUGUAUGUGUGUUCAAACUUCCUCU